UACGUAGGGGGCAAGCGUUGUCUGGAAUCAUUGGGCGUAAAGAGCGUGUAGGCGGCCCGGUAAGUCCGCUGUGAAAGUCCAGGGCUCAACCCUGGAAUGCCGGUGGAAACUGUCGGGCUAGAGUCCGGAAGAGGCGAGUGGAAUUCCUGGUGUAGCGGUGAAAUGCGCAGAUAUCAGGAAGAACACCCGUGGCUAAGGCGGCUCUCUAGUACGGUACUGACGCUGAGGUGCGAAAGCGUGGGGAGCAAACAGG
rnacentral:rRNA from 1 species